UAGAAGAGUUUGAUCCUGGCUCAGAAUAAAUGCUAGUAAUAGGCUUAAGACAUGCAAGUCGAGCGUAUCUCUUUUGAAGAUAAGCGGCGAACGGGUGAGUAACGCGUAAGAAUUUACCUAAUAGUUUGGGACACGAUUUUAAUCAAAUCCCAAUAUUUUAAAAGAGUAUAAAUUUUUCGGCUAUUAGAUAAGCUUGCGUAAGAUUAGGUAGUUGGUGAGGUAACGGCUCCACCAAGCCGAAGAUCUUUAGCUGGUUUGAAAGAACGUCCAGCCACACUGGGACUGAGACACGGCCCAGACUUUUUCGAAAGGCAGCAGUCCGGAAUCUUGGACAAUGGGCGCAAGCCUGAUCCAGCCAUAUUACGUGAAGGAUGAAGGCUUUGAAGGUUGUAAACUUCUUUACUUUUCUUUCUUGAGAAGUACAAAAAGCCCCGGCUAAAUCUGUGCCAGCAGCCGCGGUAAUACAGAUGGGGCGAGUGUUAUUCGGAAUGAUUGGGCGUAAAGGGUACGUAGGCUGUUUUAUUAGUCAACUGUAACAAUCUUUUAAAAAAAGAAUCGCAGUUUUUGAUGACUACAAAACUUGAGUUUGAUAGAGGAAAGCGGAAUUUUGAGUGGAGAGAUAGAAUUCGUAGAUAUUCAAAGGAACACCGAAAACGAAGGUAGCUUUCUGGGUCAAAACUGACGCUCAUGUACGAAAGCAUGGGGAGUGAAUGGGAUUAGAUACCCCAGUAAUCCAUGCCGUCAACGAUGAGUGUUCAUUCCAUGACUUAUCUAGUUGUGGGGUCUAGCUAACGCGUUAAACACUCCGCCUGAGGAGUACGGUCGCAAGGCUGAAACUCAAAGGAAUUGCCGGGGGCUCGUACAAGCGGUGGAUCAUGUGGUUUAAUUCGAAACAACGCGCAAAACCUUACCAAUCCUUGUAUACAAAAACAAAUUUCUUUCAUUAAGAUCUUUUGAAGUUUUGAACAGGUGCUGCAUGGCUGUCGUCAGCUCGUGUCGUGAGAUGUUGGGUUAAGUCCUUAUACGAGCGAAACCCCUUUUUAAGCUAAAAAAUUAGUUUAAAAACUGCCAAUGAUAAGUUGGAGGAAGGAUGGGAUGAUGUCAAGUCCUCAUGGCCCUUAUGGGUUGGGCUACACACGUGAUACAGUGGCAAUGACAAAGGAAAGCAAUGAUGCAAGUCGGAGCGAUUUCUCAAAAAUUGUCUUGGUCCGGAUUGUUCUCUGCAACUCGAGAACAUGAAGUUGGAAUCGCUAGUAAUCGUGGAUCAGCACGCCACGGUGAAUUUGUACCCGAGCCUUGGACACCUUGCCCGUCACAUUGCGGAAAUAAGCUCCGCUCGAAAAAUACCUAAAAGUUUCCAAAUUAUUUAUCAAAUCAAAAAGACUUUUGAAUAGAGUUUAAUUUAGGGAAUGUUUGACAAUAUUUCACAGUGAGGUUUGUAACUGCAAUGAAGUCGUAACAUGGUUAGGGUUGGGGAACCAGUUCUAGGAGUGACUCC
rnacentral:rRNA from 1 species